rnacentral:tRNA from 1 species
GCCACCUUAGUCUAGCGGUUAGGACGUUGGCCUCUCACGCCGAAGUCAGGGGUUCGAUUCCCCUAGGUGGUGCCA